rnacentral:rRNA from 1 species
AGUGAACGCUGGCGGUAGGCCUAACACAUGCCAGUCGAACGGCAGCACAGUAAGAGCUUGCUCUUACGGGUGGCGAGUGGCGGACGGGUGAGGAAUACAUCGGAAUCUACUUUUUCGUGGGGGAUAACGUAGGGAAACUUACGCUAAUACCGCAUACGACCUACGGGUGAAAGCAGGGGAUCUUCGGACCUUGCGCGAUUGAAUGAGCCGAUGUCGGAUUAGCUAGUUGGCGGGGUAAAGGCCCACCAAGGCGACGAUCCGUAGCUGGUCUGAGAGGAUGAUCAGCCACACUGGAACUGAGACACGGUCCAGACUCCUACGGGAGGCAGCAGGGGGGAAUAUUGGACAAUGGGCGCAAGCCUGAUCCAGCCAUACCGCGGGGGUGAAGAAGGCCUUCGGGUUGUAAAGCCCUUUUGUUGGGAAAGAAAAGCAGCAGGUUAAUACCCCGCUGUUCUGACGGUACCCAAAGAAUAAGCACCGGCUAACUUCGU